AUGACUGCGCUGACAACGGCAUCCCGCUCCCCCAACGUCGACUCAAAGAUCCUCUCCAAGGUCAUUGAGUACUGCAAGAAGCACGUUCAGACCAGCCCCAAACCGGCUAACUCCGGCGCCGCCGCUGACGCCAACUCCUCCACCUCUACUGCAGACGCCGCCCCCGCCGAGGACCUCAAGAGCUUUGACGCCGAGUUCGUCAAGGUCGACCAGGCCACCAUCUUCGACCUUAUCCUGGCUGCAAACUACCUCAACAUCAAGGGAUUGCUCGACCUUACUUGCCAGACUGUUGCCGACAUGAUCAAGGACAAGACUCCAGAGAAGAUUCGCAAGAUUUUUAACAUCAAGAAUGACUUCACACCCGAGGAGGAGACGGAGAUCCGCAAGGAGAACCAGUGGGCUUUUGAGUAG
rnacentral:rRNA from 1 species